rnacentral:lncRNA from 1 species
AAGACUGACACUUGGGUGCACAUUGCUGCAGAAGACGAGCAGGAGGGUUUGGACAGUGUGUGUCCAACAGAUGGGAGUGCGGCCAAAGCCUUUUCCUGACACAAUCUCAGCACAAUGAAAAGAUCCCCACCAGCUGGCAAGGCACAGCAAGUCCUGCUGUGGGCCCAACCUGUGGCCCUGAGACGCAUGCAGAUGGAGAGGCUAGAGAAGGAUUCCGCAGAGACUGGACGAGUCAAGCUCUGCCCGAGCACAGUUCUGAAGGGAAUCCCUGUUGGACUGGCCACCAGCUCUGCUUAUUUGUGUCUCCUGCCUCAGAGUCUCCAAGCUGAAGACAGAUAUAAGGAGCAAGAUGAUCACUGUCAUGGAAACCCUAUCUACUAUGUCUCCUCUCUGUUACAAAGGAUUCAUUUAAAGUUUCCUCAUCAUAAACCCCUGGCAUCUUUCUAAAACCUGGCUGGAAGAUUGAAGAAUAUGGAGUUGGAUGAAGAAGCAUGGAGAGAGGUCAAAAUGUCCUUAGACACGGUCUGCACAAGCCUGUGAGCAGCAGCAGCAGCAGCAGCAGCAGCAGCAGAGCCAGUGGAUAUCAUCAGGGUCACAUAGGAGGCUCCAGCACCCCCAGUUGGCUACAGUACCCAGCACUCAGUAUCUGUGCUGUGAGAACCUCAGUGCGCAGCGUGGGAGCUGUUUCUACCAGGCUCCAGUUUAGUUUCUGCUCAUUUCCUGA